UACGUAGGGCGCAAGCGUUAUCCGGAAUUAUUGGGCGUAAAGAGCUCGUAGGCGGUUUGUCGCGUCUGCUGUGAAAACUGGAGGCUCAACCUCCAGCCUGCAGUGGGUACGGGCAAACUAGAGUGCGGUAGGGGAGAUUGGAAUUCCUGGUGUAGCGGUGGAAUGCGCAGAUAUCAGGAGGAACACCGAUGGCGAAGGCAGAUCUCUGGGCCGUAACUGACGCUGAGGAGCGAAAGCGUGGGGAGCGAUCCGG
rnacentral:rRNA from 1 species